GGGUCAGUAGGUUGGUCGUGCCACCGGUACGUACUGGUCUCACUGAUUCCUCCUUCCUGAAGAACCGUAAUGCCAUUAAUUUGGUGUUGCGGGGAAACAGGACUGUUACUUUGAAAAAAUUAGAGUGCUUAAAGCAAGCUAACGCUUGAAUACAUUAGCAUGGAAUAAUGAAAUAGGACGAUCGAUCCUAUUUUGUUGGUUUCUGGGAUUGACGUA
rnacentral:rRNA from 1 species